rnacentral:rRNA from 1 species
CCUACGGGGGGCUGCAGUAAGGAAUAUUGGACAAUGGGCGAGAGCCUGAUCCAGCCAUGCCGCGUGCAGGAAGAAGGCCCUAUGGGUCGUAAACUGCUUUUGAACGAGAGAAAACCCGAGUACGUGUACUCGGCUGAUAGUAUCGUUAGAAUAAGCAUCGGCUAACUUCGUGCCAGCAGCCGCGGUAAGACGAAGGAUGCAAGCGUUAUCCGGAUUCAUUGGGUUUAAAGGGAGCGUAGGCGGACUUGUAAGUCAGUGGUGAAAUCUGUGGGCUUAACCCACAAACUGCCAUUGAUACUGCAGGUCUAGAGUACAGUUGCCGUUGGCGGAAUAUGACAUGUAGUGGUGAAAUACUUAGAUAUGUCAUAGAACACCGAUUGCGAAGGCAGCUAACGAAGCUGUAACUGACGCUGAGGCUCGAAAGUGUGGGGAUCAAACAGGAUUAGAUACCCCGGUAGUC